UACAGAGGUCCCAAGCGUUUGUUCGGAUUCACUGGGCGUAAAGGGUGCGUAGGUGGUCGGAUAAGUUUGAUGUGAAAUCUCCGGGCUUAACCCGGAAACUGCAUUGAAUACUAUUUGGCUAGAGGGUUGGAGGGGGGACUGGAAUACUUGGUGUAGCAGUGAAAUGCGUAGAUAUCAAGUGGAACACCAGUGGCGAAGGCGAGUCCCUGGACAACUCCUGACACUGAGGCACGAAAGCUAGGGGAGCAAACAGG
rnacentral:rRNA from 1 species